GACAAUGGUUUGCAAGGAGGCGUAUAUACCAUGACUUGUAAGCGAACAUCGGAGAACUUCUGAGUUGUAUGGUCGUCGUGGUCACUUGGGGGAAGCUAUCUACUUAGGCCAACGAUGCUGUCAUCAUUCAAAACCUUUUCUGGAACUUCUCCUUGGACUGUUGUUAAUAAGUCUCCUCACACACUUUCCCGUCUUCAGGUGGUGAUUACAUGCUAAUCAUCCAGGGCAGACGUGAUUAUAUAAAUGAUCCCCAAGUGCUUGACAGCCGGAGCUUUGGACUCUAAGCUCAGGACCUUCCUUUAUCGUUUGUCUCCAAAACCCCGAAGCGGUGCUCUCCUUGUCCCAAUCAGCACUUUUCCAGUGUUUCCCACCUCUUUCUUUACCCAGCUCCAGAAUCAUCCUUGAUCCCCCGCCCCCCUCACUCUCACCUUCCUUUACCCACUUCUCAGCAAGCCCUGUUCGUUUUGCCUCCUGCAUGUCCCCCUGGCCCGCCUACUUCCUCUCCACCUACGGAACACGGCCCAGUCCCGCCGCCCUCAUCCCCUGCUCAGACCCUGGUAGAGCCUCUGAGGCAGUCUCUGUUCACAGCCAUCCGGCCUUCUCUCUACGCUGCUGACCGCGAUCUUUCCAGAUCUCAAGCCCAACCAGGUCCCACCACACACCACUUCCAUUCCUGCUUAAAACCUCUCAAUGUGGUGACAGUGGCAUAGGUCCACAUUCCUCUGCCGAGUCACGCUGCGGCCCCUGCCGGCAGGAAUUGGGGGCUGUCCCCCUAGCCCUUGAAUCUGGGCUCACCUGGUGACUUGCCUGGACCGACAGAACAGGGCAGAAGUGAUGUUGUGGGAGUUCUGGGGCAUGGUCCUUCAGGGGCCUUGCAGCCUUCGCCUUCACCCCUUCGGCUCCCGAGUCUGUUACGUCAGGGAACUUGCCAGCAGAUGAGGCUACACGGACACAACAGCCAGAUGUGCCAGUGAGGCCAGCUGACUUGCCCACUCGGCCGACCUGCCAGCCGCCUGCAGCCACACCCCUCUGGCUUUGACCUUGGGCAUGCACGUCCCUUUCUGCCACGAAGCUUCUGGGUGUGCGAUUCCCUUACUGGGCUUUACUCGGUUAGCCCCCACUCGUCCUCCAGCGCCAAGCCUCACCUUGUCAAAUCCGCCGUGGGCUCGGGUGGCACCACGUGCUUGCCUCGGGACUUUGGACAACAGAGAUGUGUGUCUUUUGGGGGGUGACUUGUUUGCCCCUCCCAUCUGUAAAGUCCAUGCAGGCUAUUCUGGGUGUGAUUCUGUUUCCCACCGUAUCCCUGUGCCCUACCUUAGUGGGACUCAAUAAAUAAACAAAUAAAUUCGUGAA